CUUUGGUACUGAACUGAUUUCUCUUUUGUCUUUGUUUAACAGCCGUGAUCGUUGUUUUCUCCGUUCCUCUGUUGUACAAAAAGAACAAGAUGCGUUUAAGGAGGAUGGUUCGAGCGGUCAAAGCUUUUGUAAAGAAAAUCAAAGACCUUUUCCUCAGUCUGUAUCAUAAGGUGAGACCCUCUUCUGCUCCUGAACCUGCCACAAAACAUGCACCUGCCCCUGCAGCUGCACCGGCUCCCAAACAGAAAGCCAAGGCAAAGUAACUGGUUGGUCAAGUGUUAGAAAGCACCCACGAUUUGGGAUUCGGAAAAUGUUGGAAUGGUUACAUCAUCUGUGGGGCCACUUUGAGAGCCGGCUCAUGUCCAUUUCUCAACCGCGAUGUUCAUUAAUAGGAGCAAGAUAUAAUUGAUCCUGACAGCUGAAACAAAGCUGCCCUUCACUCACAAAGAAAGAGUGGAAGUGUAUGAGGGGAAGAAUUUAAUUUACUGAGAUGCUGUUUGUAGGCAAUGUUUAAUAUAACCAGUUCACACUCACAUACUCUAAGCAGGGGCAGAAUACCACCGUGUGUUUUUUCUUUGAUAACAGGUCUAUUUUUACAGGGAGCUCCAUGUUCCUGUUGAACUGCAGAAUUAUUCAUAAUGAACCAACGAAGCAUUACUGCUGCUCUCAUUAUGUCUAUGCAGCACCAUAAAUUGUAAACUCGGUAGAAUAAAUCUGACAUGCUGCUAUUAAUUAACAUUAAUGUUUUUUUUGCUUGCUAAGUUAGAUAUCUUUUAAAAAGCUUUUUAAAAAGCAACACCUUGCAACUUUUAUGAGAGUUUAAUGAGAAAUAAUGAGGACAUAUGUCAUAUGCUGUUCAUGCUAAUUGCAUUUAAUCAGGUAAAAACUGACCUGCUGCUGCUCCUGGGGCAGAUUAGUUAUUAAAGAUAUAAAGUGCAGGAAAAAAAAAAAGUGAGAGCAAUUUAAACUCAGCAGUAAAUUAAAAUUGGACUGAUUUAAGCACAUAACAGAAGCAUUUUUAAUUAAUUUGCAGAUAGGACAACUUUAUUUCUGCUCUCAUAUUUCACCUCCUGGUUAAAACACUAACAGGCCAACAGAUGUUUUGUGUCGGCCUGUGGAUAGAUAUUCACUACUAUUUCAGCUGGGUUCUGCUUUCUACCACGUCCUUAUUGACAAACACAAAAUGUCAGUAAACAACACCAUUAACAUUUUAAAAGCUGCAUCAAUUAACUUGUGAAUGCUAACUUUUUGGUGCUUCCAGCUGACACAAAACAAUGCAACAUUAAUUUGGAGUAUGGUUUCUUGCCACGAAAAAUAACAUUCAUUUUAAUAUUUUAGCUAUGUUUUGUUCCCAAUCGAAACAAUGAACUUGUGGUCAGUAAGCCAAAACAAUAUGCUGAAAGAUAGUAAAAUGCUCUGAAGGGCUACUUUAAUACUUCUAUGGCUUUGUUACUGGAAGCAACUUUUAAUGUUAACAUAUUGAUUGUAGCUGCUUUAAGCUUUUUACUUUUUCAAAUACUCCUGAAGAAAUUGUACAUCACCUUGAUUAGUGUUAAGUUGCCUACAUGAGUCUUAAGUUGUAGAUAACUAUAAAUAGCUAUGACCAGAUACCCUGUUUCAGUUGCAUAAUAGUGUAAACCAGUCGCACUAUAACCUGCCUUAAGAGGACAUUUAAUUAGAUAAAACUACAACAACAACAACAAUUUUAAAAGAAGAAACCUUAAAGAGAGAAAGCGAUUUUCACAUUGUCAUUGCAUAAGUCAUUCAACCAGUGGUGCUGCAGGACACGUUGAAAGCUGCUACACAAGCUAACAAUAUAUAUAUUGUUAAAUUGUGUAGCAGUUAGUCAACAUAUAUUUAUGAUGGAGAUUUGCCUUUAAUGUAUACUAGUGGCUCUUCAGUGAGCGCUGCAUUGUAGGCCUAUGUGAACAGUUAAACAUGUCUGGACUUUUCCUCCAUAGCCUACUCUUAUUGAUAAAUGUUCCCUCAUUGUGACAUUGUGACAUUGUCAUCGAAACUGUGAGACAUGUGAGAAAGAGUAUAAUUUUAAUUCGGGGUGCACUAUUCCUUUAUUUAUCCCUCACUCUGACCAGUGUACGGUUUUAGCUUCCAAACCUGAGCCUGUAGAGUAGACCGUACGCUGUUAGCUACUGUUAGCAUGUCAGAUUAAUGUUGGUGACUAGUGCCCUCUAGUGGAGUUUCAGAUCUUAAAUCGCAGCUGCAGUCAUACUAACAUGUCUUAAUUAACUGAUGUUAUUUAAUAUCAUUAAAAAAUAUUAACCCCAGCCAAAAAAUAGGUAUUUAUUUAUUUAGUAUUUAUUGAAAAAAAAAAAGGUCAAUAUUUUCUAUAAAAAUGUAAUUUUCAAAAGCUGUGAGCAGUGUUAGCUGUAACUGAGUUGCAGGAGGGCUUAACCCGAACUGCGUUUUUUCUUUUAAUGUUGCCACUUCUAUCUCUUGUUGUAGAAUGACUUAUUUCUAUUGGUAUUUCAUAUUUUGUAUUGUAAUUUCCGAUUGUUAUGUUGCUCCCCAAUAAAAAGUUGUUUAGUAAAA